UCCUACGGGAGGCAGCAGUGAGGAAUUUUGCGCAAUGGGCGAAAGCCUGACGCAGCGACACCGCGUGAUCGAUGAAGCUUUUCGGAGUGUAAAGAUCUUUUUCCGCUGAUGAUUAUGACCGUAGGCGGAGAAUAAGCACUGGCUAACUACAUGCCAGAAGCCUCGGUGAUACGUAGGGUGCAAGCGUUAUCCGGAAUUAUUGGGCGUAAAGCGUUGGUAGGUGGUUUGAUAAGUUUUGGGUAAAAUAGUUGGGCUCAACCCAAUUUCUGCUCAGAAGUACCGUCAAACUAGAGGUAAGUAGGGGUAGGUGGAAUUCCCGGUGUAGCAGUGAAAUGCGUUGAUAUCGGGAGGAAUACCAAUGGCGAAAGCAUCCUGCUAGACUUAUCCUGACACUGAGCAACGAAAGCGUGGGGAGCAAACAGGAUUAGAUACCCCAGUAGUCCAAGCCG
rnacentral:rRNA from 1 species